CCUACGGGAGGCUGCAGUGGGGAAUAUUGGACAAUGGGCGAAAGCCUGAUCCAGCCAUGCCGCGUGUGUGAAGAAGGCCUUCGGGUUGUAAAGCACUUUCAGUGGGGAAGAAAGCCUUGGGGCUAAUACCCUCGAGGAAGGACAUCACCCACAGAAGAAGCACCGGCUAACUCCGUGCCAGCAGCCGCGGUAAUACGGAGGGUGCGAGCGUUAAUCGGAAUUACUGGGCGUAAAGCGCGCGUAGGCGGUCUGAUAAGCCGGUUGUGAAAGCCCCGGGCUCAACCUGGGAACGGCAUCCGGAACUGUCAGGCUAGAGUGCAGGAGAGGAAGGUAGAAUUCCCGGUGUAGCAGUGAAAUGCGUAGAGAUCGGGAGGAAUACCAGUGGCGAAGGCGGCCUUCUGGAUUGACACUGACGCUGAGGUGCGAAAGCGUGGGUAGCAAACAGGAUUAGAUACCCUAGUAGUC
rnacentral:rRNA from 1 species